UCCCAUAUUUCUUCUACUUCGUGCAGGCUCGUGACAACAGCUGAUGUACAGUUUGCCAACGCUCUAGACAAUACACGAACGUUCAUUUGCACCCACAAGGGAAGAGAGAACUUGGCACUCACUGGAAGCGGUCCACUAUCCUCUUCCAAGCAACAAACCAUUGCUCUCAUCAUCAUUGCUGACGGAGGUAGACGACUACGUCUUCGUCUUUUUAUAGCUCCGCAAGAAAGGAGUUGUCAUCGUCGCCAUUUUCUUCACCAUCAUUACUAUCUUCACUACCAGCAGACAGAACGCCAAGGAGGUGAGUUGCCGUUAUCAUAGAUAUUGUCGGCUGCGGGAAUGGAGCAGGCUUGAAGGUAUGAUCGCCGGUAGCUUUAUCUUUGUCCACCACCAACCUAUUCACAACCAUCAUCACUUUUGAUUACCAACUCUUUGAAAUCCUCUCACUCUUCAAAAGGGCUUGGAUCUCAAAACAGCGGGGGGGCAGAUGAGCCAUUAUAGCUAUGUAGUAGCAUGCAUCAUAAUACCGCAC
rnacentral:sRNA from 1 species